rnacentral:rRNA from 1 species
UCCGUAGGUGAACCUGCGGAGGGAUCAUUACUGAGUUUACGCUCUAUAACCCUUUGUGAACAUACCUAUAACUGUUGCUUCGGCGGGUAGGGUCUCCGCGACCCUCCCGGCCUCCCGCCUCCGGGCGGGUCGGCGCCCGCCGGAGGAUAACCAAACUCUGAUUUAACGACGUUUCUUCUGAGUGGUACAAGCAAAUAAUCAAAACUUUUAACAACGGAUCUCUUGGUUCUGGCAUCGAUGAAGAACGCAGCGAAAUGCGAUAAGUAAUGUGAAUUGCAGAAUCAGUGAAUCAUCGAAUCUUUGAACGCACAUUGCGCCCGCCAGCAUUCUGGCGGGCAUGCCUGUUCGAGCGUCAUUUCAACCCUCAAGCUCUGCUUGGUGUUGGGGCCCUACAGCUGAUGUAGGCCCUCAAAGGUAGUGGCGGACCCUCCCGGAGCCUCCUUUGCGUAGUAACUUUACGUCUCGCACUGGGAUCCGGAGGGACUCUUGCCGUAAAACCCCCCAAUUUUCCAAAGGUUGACCUCGGAUCAGGUAGGAAUACCCGCUGAACUUAAGCAUAUCAAUAAGCGGAGGA